rnacentral:rRNA from 1 species
AGAGUUUGAUCCUGGCUCAGAUUGAACGCUGGCGGCAUGCCUUACACAUGCAAGUCGAACGGUAGAGGGGCAACCCUUGAGAGUGGCGAACGGGUGAGUAAUAUAUCGGAACGUGCCCAGUCGUGGGGGAUAACGCAGCGAAAGCUGCGCUAAUACCGCAUACGAUCUAAGGAUGAAAGCGGGGGAUCGCAAGACCUCGCGCGAUUGGAGCGGCCGAUAUCAGAUUAGGUAGUUGGUGGGGUAAAAGCCUACCAAGCCGACGAUCUGUAGCUGGUCUGAGAGGACGACCAGCCACACUGGGACUGAGACACGGCCCAGACUCCUACGGGAGGCAGCAGUGGGGAAUUUUGGACAAUGGGCGCAAGCCUGAUCCAGCAAUGCCGCGUGCAGGACGAAGGCCUUCGGGUUGUAAACUGCUUUUGUACGGAGCGAAACGGUCUGGGUUAAUACCCUGGGCUAAUGACGGUACCGUAAGAAUAAGCACCGGCUAANNANGUGNCAGCAGCCGCGGUAAUAC